UCAAUAAAAUUUUGAGAAUUAGUUUUCUUUCCCAAGGAUUGGUCCUUAUUUUUUUCGUUAUUCUCGUUUGUUCUACAUCAGUAGUUCUUUAUGGUGUCUACCUUAACCAGACUAUCACUUAAUUAGGUUAUUUUGUUGAGAUUAAGGCUCCUGGCUAUUUGAAGAGAACUGCUGUAGAUCAAAGCUGCAUAUAAAGAGAAGGCUUUCAUGUGUGUAGUACAGAAUAUUCAACAUCACCUCAUGCCAUUUGGAAUGGUUUUUAUUAUGAUCUAUAAGUUUAAAGGAAUAUAACUAAUGUUGGGAAAUUUUAUAUGGUUAAUAUAAUUAAUGUGUCUAGGAGAAUUUUGGAAAAAAUUUAUGCUUCUAUCCUGUGUUAUUAAAGUUGACGAAAGGCAACCACCGGGCGUGCUUGCUUGGUGGUUAACCUAGUGAGACCGUCCUGUCCCACCCCGGUUUCGACUUCCCGCACAAGCAUUUGAAGACUAAAUAUUGUCUCUGCUUUGGAAUGCACUAGGAGUCGGCAGCGGGUUGUCCAGUGAUUCAUCUUAGGGGGUGCCACCUCGAGUUCGGUGGUAGGUCUCUCCCCAAGGGAGUUAAAUUGAGGACACAAACUGGUGACCCCG
rnacentral:misc_RNA from 1 species